UACGUAGGUGGCAAGCGUUGUCCGGAUUUACUGGGCGUAAAGGAUGCGUAGGCGGACAUUUAAGUCAGAUGUGAAAUACCCGAGCUUAACUUGGGUGCUGCAUUUGAAACUGGGUGUCUAGAGUGCAGGAGAGGUAAGUGGAAUUCCUAGUGUAGCGGUGAAAUGCGUAGAGAUUAGGAAGAACACCAGUGGCGAAGGCGGCCUUCUGGACCAGCACUGACACUCAAGCACGAAAGCGUGGGGAGCAAACAGG
rnacentral:rRNA from 1 species